rnacentral:lncRNA from 1 species
AGUAGUAUAAUAAACAUCCAAAGUACAAAUGCUAAACCAGAUACAUAGGUGGUCUCUCUAUACAAGGUACUAACAUAACUCUCUCUCACUCAACUACAACAAAAGGAGAGUGAACUACCAAAACGUAAAAAGAACGCUCCUCGCUAGCUAGCUAAGCGAUCCCCUUGCCGCGAUCCCGUGCCUCCACCGGUGUAGAGGGCUCUGAAAUAAAAC